GAUGAACGCUGGCGGCGUGCCUAAUACAUGCAAGUCGAGCGAACGGACGAGAAGCUUGCUUCUCUGAUGUUAGCGGCGGACGGGUGAGUAACACGUGGAUAACCUACCCAUAAGACUGGGAUAACUUCGGGAAACCGGAGCUAAUACCGGAUAAUAUUUUGAACCGCAUGGUUCAAAAGUGAAAGACGGUCUUGCUGUCACUUAUAGAUGGAUCCGCGCUGCAUUAGCUAGUUGGUAAGGUAACGGCUUACCAAGGCAACGAUGCAUAGCCGACCUGAGAGGGUGAUCGGCCACACUGGAACUGAGACACGGUCCAGACUCCUACGGGAGGCAGCAGUAGGGAAUCUUCCGCAAUGGGCGAAAGCCUGACGGAGCAACGCCGCGUGAGUGAUGAAGGUCUUCGGAUCGUAAAACUCUGUUAUUAGGGAAGAACAUAUGUGUAAGUAACUGUGCACAUCUUGACGGUACCUAAUCAGAAAGCCACGGCUAACUACGUGCCAGCAGCCGCGGUAAUACGUAGGUGGCAAGCGUUAUCCGGAAUUAUUGGGCGUAAAGCGCGCGUAGGCGGUUUUUUAAGUCUGAUGUGAAAGCCCACGGCUCAACCGUGGAGGGUCAUUGGAAACUGGAAAACUUGAGUGCAGAAGAGGAAAGUGGAAUUCCAUGUGUAGCGGUGAAAUGCGCAGAGAUAUGGAGGAACACCAGUGGCGAAGGCGACUUUCUGGUCUGUAACUGACGCUGAUGUGCGAAAGCGUGGGGAUCAAACAGGAUUAGAUACCCUGGUAGUCCACGCCGUAAACGAUGAGUGCUAAGUGUUAGGGGGUUUCCGCCCCUUAGUGCUGCAGCUAACGCAUUAAGCACUCCGCCUGGGGAGUACGACCGCAAGGUUGAAACUCAAAGGAAUUGACGGGGACCCGCACAAGCGGUGGAGCAUGUGGUUUAAUUCGAAGCAACGCGAAGAACCUUACCAAAUCUUGACAUCCUUUGACAACUCUAGAGAUAGAGCCUUCCCCUUCGGGGGACAAAGUGACAGGUGGUGCAUGGUUGUCGUCAGCUCGCGUCGUGAGAUGUUGGGUUAAGUCCCGCAACGAGCGCAACCCUUAAGCUUAGUUGCCAUCAUUAAGUUGGGCACUCUAAGUUGACUGCCGGUGACAAACCGGAGGAAGGUGGGGAUGACGUCAAAUCAUCAUGCCCCUUAUGAUUUGGGCUACACACGUGCUACAAUGGACAAUACAAAGGGCAGCGAAACCGCGAGGUCAAGCAAAUCCCAUAAAGUUGUUCUCAGUUCGGAUUGUAGUCUGCAACUCGACUACAUGAAGCUGGAAUCGCUAGUAAUCGUAGAUCAGCAUGCUACGGUGAAUACGUUCCCGGGUCU
rnacentral:rRNA from 1 species